GGCUCAGGAUGAACGCUGGCGGCGUGCUUAACACAUGCAAGUCGAACGAUGAACCUCACUUGUGGGGGGAUUAGUGGCGAACGGGUGAGUAACACGUGAGUAACCUGCCCUUAACUCUGGGAUAAGCCUGGGAAACUGGGUCUAAUACCGGAUAUGACUCCUCAUCGCAUGGUGGGGGGUGGAAAGCUUUUUGUGGUUUUGGAUGGACUCGCGGCCUAUCAGCUUGUUGGUGAGGUAAUGGCUCACCAAGGCGACGACGGGUAGCCGGCCUGAGAGGGUGACCGGCCACACUGGGACUGAGACACGGCCCAGACUCCUACGGGAGGCAGCAGUGGGGAAUAUUGCACAAUGGGCGAAAGCCUGAUGCAGCGACGCCGCGUGAGGGAUGACGGCCUUCGGGUUGUAAACCUCUUUCAGUAGGGAAGAAGCGAAAGUGACGGUACCUGCAGAAGAAGCGCCGGCUAACUACGUGCCAGCAGCCGCGGUAAUACGUAGGGCGCAAGCGUUAUCCGGAAUUAUUGGGCGUAAAGAGCUCGUAGGCGGUUUGUCGCGUCUGCCGUGAAAGUCCGGGGCUCAACUCCGGAUCUGCGGUGGGUACGGGCAGACUAGAGUGAUGUAGGGGAGACUGGAAUUCCUGGUGUAGCGGUGAAAUGCGCAGAUAUCAGGAGGAACACCGAUGGCGAAGGCAGGUCUCUGGGCAUUAACUGACGCUGAGGAGCGAAAGCAUGGGGAGCGAACAGGAUUAGAUACCCUGGUAGUCCAUGCCGUAAACGUUGGGCACUAGGUGUGGGGGACAUUCCACGUUUUCCGCGCCGUAGCUAACGCAUUAAGUGCCCCGCCUGGGGAGUACGGCCGCAAGGCUAAAACUCAAAG
rnacentral:rRNA from 1 species